GGACGGGUCAGGUGCUCCAGUGUCAACUCAUCUUCGAAGUGCUUGGAGAAACGCACGAUGUCCUGCGUGCUUGGACUUUCUCCUGAGCGACGGACCUUGAAAAUUUGGACAGAUGGCAGCAUCCCUGGAAACAAUUUCAGAACAACUGGCAGCAGAAAUUCCAGAAAUGGCACAAUCAGAAAGAUCAUGAAUGGAAGUAGGCGGAAGAGGUCAACACAUGUUCGUAUAAGCUGGAAGAAUUUACACAAGACAAAAUGCAUGAGUAUUACUGCAAGGGCAGGACUUGCUAUUCUCUCACCUGAUAUGUGCACAAUGACCAUGCUGGUGCAGUCUUCAAGGGAAGAUACUCAGUACUUCAGAACAGGAGAGGAAGGAAAAGGAUACUUAGAAAACCCGAAUUUUACCACAAAUAAACAGGUAUCGAGUACAUUGGAUCUGUCAGGCAGGACCAGGGUCUGUGGUACCUCCUGCUCAAUCGCCUCUAAAUCCCAAUGAACCAACUGUGGAAAAUCUCUUUGGUCCAAUCACAUACUGGUGUUUCACCCAUGAUUUUCCUACAUAAGUGCAAACAGUUAGCUGACAAUUCCAUGGUGUCCAGCUCCAUUCACAAUUCUGCUAAUAAUGAGGUAACCAAUGCCAACUUGCAACAAGACUGACAUUCAGGAAUUAAUGUUCAUGCCAUCUUACAGCCAGGGAAUGACCGCACUGAGUAAGAAAUCCAAACAAUUAUUGACAAGUCUGCUAGAAUUCACAUUUUAGGGGAAAUGGUGGUAAAGUAGUAAUGUCAUGGGACUAAUAAUCAAGAAUUUCAGAUUAAUGUUCUGGAACAUAAGUUUGAAUCCAAUUGUCAAAUGUGAAUUCUAUUGCAUGCCUUAAAGGCAACUGUGUAACAACUUCAGAUUGUCAUAAAAACCCUUAUAGUUUAUGAAUGUCUCUAAGGGAAGGAAAACUGUCACCCUCACCUAAUCUAACCUACACAUCACUCCAGACAAGGGAUUAUCAAUCUUAUUUUAGAGUAUAAAUCUAGGCAAUCUCCUGGAUCUGAUAUUGAUCAUUUAUCUCAUUAGAAUCCAACUGAUUCACAAGGUUUCCAAGCUAACAUUUUCUCUUUUUUUCAUAAAAACAAGGAUUCA